rnacentral:rRNA from 1 species
UACGUAGGUGGCAAGCGUUGUCCGGAUUUACUGGGCGUAAAGUGUGCGCAGGCGGCCGCGCAAGUCGAGUGUGAAAUCCCCGAGCUUAACUUGGGAAUUGCGCUCGAAACUACGUGGCUGGAGUGUGGCAGAGGAAGGUGGAAUUCCACGUGUAGCGGUGAAAUGCGUAGAGAUGUGGAGGAACACCGAUGGCGAAGGCAGCCUUCUGGGCCAACACUGACGCUCAUGCACGAAAGCGUGGGGAGCAAACAGG